rnacentral:rRNA from 1 species
UACGUAGGGUGCGAGCGUUAAUCGGAAUUACUGGGCGUAAAGCGUGCGCAGGCGGUUUUGUAAGCCAGAUGUGAAAUCCCCGGGCUUAACCUGGGAAUGGCAUUUGGGACUGCAAGGCUUGAGUGCGGCAGAGGAGACUGGAAUUCCUGGUGUAGCAGUGAAAUGCGUAGAUAUCAGGAGGAACACCGAUGGCGAAGGCAGGUCUCUGGGCUGACACUGACGCUCAUGCACGAAAGCGUGGGGAGCAAACAGGAU